UGAAAGUGGACUCACCUGAGAGCUGCGGACUCUUCACAAGGGCCCCGAUGGAAACGCGGAAAAAAAUCCAUCUGGAAAAUUCGUUACGAGCUAAAGUUGCGGACAUUUCUCUCCCUGACUCUGCUUUGCUUCUGACACAGAUCACGUCAGCGUCACGUCGGGCUCCAGCACGACACUGUGAGAGGGGGUCUGUUUCUGUCUUUGGUUAUCUAGCUGUAUGAGUGUUAAAUACCUGUCAUAAAGCUAGAUAACCGAAAGUAGAAAUGACUUCCGUGACGUUGUGUGCACUCCCGACACACAGAGGGGGGCUCAUCAGGCUUUAAAGUCAGAAGGCUUCCGAUUAGCAACGUUGAAUGAUUGGGGAUUCCUGAAAAGAGGGUCGAACCAUCGUUAAAAGAAAACGAGGAGAGAGGAGGAAAAAAACGGUCGGUCCGGAAUUGCCGCCCCCUCCUCUCCCAUCCCCCCACUCCUCACCCUUUUUUACCCAGGAGCCUCUAAUGCCAUCUGCACUGCCAACGGGGGACACUUUGCCCGUGCCAGGAGGCGGACAAAGACCCCGCCGGAUCCCUGGAGUAUGGGCGCGCUCAGAGGAGCCAUCUUGGGAGAUGUUGCCGCGACACCUAAAAUGGCUGGGGCUGGCACACGAGGAUGGGACAGGACCUGCAAGUCUUUCUGCACUCUGGAGGAACCUGCUCGAGCACGAGGAGAUGGUGAAACAAACUCAACAAGAUCAUCAGAGACUCUCACCUCAACAGGAAUUCAAGAGAUUAUCAGCCACCUAAAUGGGAAGAGUCCCACUGUGUGUUAAAAGACUGUAGACACAGAAGAGACAUUCUGCAAGCCUGAAAUGUAUCUAUCAAAAACAAGUGUAUUUUAAGACACUGUACAAAGUGUGUAUGAUUCAACAUGUUUACACAAAUCUAUUAUUUAUAAAAUUGCAAAUAAAAAGCCUUGACUUACGUCUCACUCAGUACAUUAAGGGCAUUUUCUU